GAUGAAGAAGUAGCGAAAUGCGAUAAGUAAUGUGAAUUGCAGAAUUCCGUGAAUCAUCGAAUCUUUGAACGCACAUUGCGCCCCCUGGCAUUCCGGGGGGCAUGCCUGUCCGAGCGUCAUUUCUGCCCUCCAGCCCGGCUGGGUGUUGGGCGCUGUCCCCCCGGGGACACGCCCCAAAGGCAGUGGCGGCGCCGCGUCGGGUCCUCGAGCGUAUGGGGCUUUGUCACCCGCUCGGGACGGACUCGUCGGCGCUGGUCUUCCUCCAGGCGACCCUUCGGGGCUCGUCUUCCUUCGGUUGACCUCGGAUCAGGUAGGGUUACCCGCUGAACUUAAGCAUAUCAAUAAGCGGAGGA
rnacentral:misc_RNA from 1 species